UUCGAAGUUCGUUAUGAAAUGAAGUGGGUGGUGUAUUGCAUAGUUUUAGCCAUUUGAUUUCAUUCACAACACACCAAAUGACUCCUCCCAUCAUAUUAUGAUGUUCCCCAAGUUUUGUACUCAAUCCGAUAUCGAUUUGUCCAUGAAAUUAGAGAAUUCAGGAUAUUACGAAGUUCGUUGUGAAAUGGAGUCGUUGGUGUAUUCGUUGGAUGUCUCUCAAAAGUCC
rnacentral:lncRNA from 1 species